UGAGACAACUCUCCACAAGAGACCAAAAUUGACACAGAAAUUAACAACUAUAGGUCACCGUACGGGCUUCAACAACGAGCAAAGCGCAUACCGCAUACUCAGCUUUAAAAUGCCCUGACAUCACGAUGUAGAACAAUUCAAACGAGAAAACUAGCGGCCUUAUUUAUGUACAAAGUGGGUCUCAUUGGGGUCUAAGCGUGACGCGGGAUUGCCGAUUUUUUGUAAGCGUGACACGUGAAAGUCAAAUUAUUGUGCCGUGAAAACAGGAAAUGAAGUCUAGCGGGACACCGGAAAUUACAAAAAAAUAUGAAUUGCUUUCGUACGUAGUGUAAGCGG
rnacentral:lncRNA from 1 species